rnacentral:rRNA from 1 species
AUUGAACGCUGGCGGCAUGCUUUACACAUGCAAGUCGAACGGUAACAGGCCGCAAGGUGCUGACGAGUGGCGAACGGGUGAGUAAUGCAUCGGAACGUGCCCAGUCGUGGGGGAUAACUACUCGAAAGAGUAGCUAAUACCGCAUACGAUCUAUGGAUGAAAGCGGGGGACCGUAAGGCCUCGCGCGAUUGGAGCGGCCGAUGUCAGAUUAGGUAGUUGGUGGGGUAAAGGCUCACCAAGCCAACGAUCUGUAGCUGGUCUGAGAGGACGACCAGCCACACUAGGACUGAGACACGGCCCAGACUCCUACGGGAGGCAGCAGUGGGGAAUUUUGGACAAUGGGCGCAAGCCUGAUCCAGCAAUGCCGCGUGCAGGAAGAAGGCCUUCGGGUUGUAAACUGCUUUUGUACGGAACGAAACGGCUCUGGUUAAUACCCGGGGCUAAUGACGGUACCGUAAGAAUAAGCACCGGCUAACUACGUG